rnacentral:rRNA from 1 species
GCACGGGUGCGUAACGCGUGGGAAUCUGCCCUUAGGUACGGAAUAACAGUGAGAAAUUACUGCUAAUACCGUAUGAUGUCUUCGGACCAAAGAUUUAUCGCCUAAGGAUGAGCCCGCGUUGGAUUAGCUAGUUGGUGGGGUAAAGGCCUACCAAGGCGACGAUCCAUAGCUGGUCUGAGAGGAUGAUCAGCCACACUGGGACUGAGACACGGCCCAGACUCCUACGGGAGGCAGCAGUGGGGAAUAUUGGACAAUGGGGGCAACCCUGAUCCAGCAAUGCCGCGUGAGUGAUGAAGGCCUUAGGGUUGUAAAGCUCUUUUACCCGGGAUGAUAAUGACAGUACCGGGAGAAUAAGCUCCGGCUAACUCCGUGCCAGCAGCCGCGGUAAUACGGAGGGAGCUAGCGUUGUUCGGAAUUACUGGGCGUAAAGCGCGCGUAGGCGGCUUUGCAAGUUAGAGGUGAAAGCCCGGGGCUCAACCCCGGAACUGCCUUUAAAACUGCAUCGCUUGAAUCCAGGAGAGGUGAGUGGAAUUCCGAGUGUAGAGGUGAAAUUCGUAGAUAUUCGGAAGAACACCAGUGGCGAAGGCGGCUCACUGGACUGGUAUUGACGCUGAGGUGCGAAAGUGUGGGGAGCAAACAGGAUUA